rnacentral:rRNA from 1 species
CCUACGGGAGGCAGCAGUGGGGAAUUUUGGACAAUGGGCGAAAGCCUGAUCCAGCAAUGCCGCGUGUGUGAAGAAGGCCUUCGGGUUGUAAAGCACUUUUGUCCGGAAAGAAAUGGCUCUGGUUAAUACCUGGGGUCGAUGACGGUACCGGAAGAAUAAGGACCGGCUAACUACGUGCCAGCAGCCGCGGUAAUACGUAGGGUCCAAGCGUUAAUCGGAAUUACUGGGCGUAAAGCGUGCGCAGGCGGUUAUGUAAGACAGAUGUGAAAUCCCCGGGCUCAACCUGGGAACUGCAUUUGUGACUGCAUGGCUAGAGUACGGUAGAGGGGGAUGGAAUUCCGCGUGUAGCAGUGAAAUGCGUAGAUAUGCGGAGGAACACCGAUGGCGAAGGCAAUCCCCUGGACCUGUACUGACGCUCAUGCACGAAAGCGUGGGGAGCAAACAGGAUUAGAUACCCUGGUAGUCCACGCCCUAAACGAUGUCAACUGGUUGUUGGGAAUUAGUUUUCUCAGUAACGAAGCUAACGCGUGAAGUUGACCGCCUGGGGAGUACGGCCGCAAGGUUGAAACUCAAAUGAAUUGACGGGG